rnacentral:lncRNA from 1 species
AUAUUAUAUAAACAACAAGGGAUCAACAAGAAAUUGUAAGUUAUGAAAUAGCCAUGACAUAUUAAGGGAGAAGAGGGAAUCGACAGCUGACUACAAAAUACAUAUGGCAUUUUUGUGUUAACGAAGUAACGCCGUAUUAAACAAUCUGAUUGGGCUAAAAGACAGACAUGGGUUUGCAGAACGACGGAAGUAGGUCAAAUUCGUCGAAUUAUACUUCUAGUCAUGGAAUACUAAAAGUUAAAACUAGUGGAAGUGCGUAUUAAAAUAGAACACUUUGUUUUCUAGUAUCUGGUGUCAUGUUUGUAUAUGAAUAUUAAUGAUUCAAUUAAAGAAAAUAAAAGCUGGUAAGAUUUUGGAUUGAUAUAAUAUUGCAAGAACUACUAGGGAGAAGAGCUGGAGCACGUUGAGCUUUUUUAUCCACUCACAACCUCGACUAACACUUGGGAAUGGUAAAACUUAUGGAAGCAAACCGUCUCUAUUUUUCUUUUUUUGCAAACUGUUCAUUAUUAUAAAUAUUGAAUAAUUGAAAUGAUAAUUUUAUCGAUAUAAUAGGCUCGUUACAGGCAGAGAAGGUCUUAAUAAAAAAUUAUCAUACAUACCUUAAUAGUUUUUUCUAAAAUAAAAUAUGCACUUCUUCUUCUACUGCUAAUUACUCCACUUUUUUUUUUUUUAAUCAUUAUUCUUCAUGAACCUUGCUACAACUUUUUGAAGAAAAAAAAAAGAUUCGAUAGCUUAAAACAUUCAAAAUCGACUUUUUAAAACUCGUGUUUUAAAAAAAUAAGGAUUUUUGUCAACUUCUGGACGUCACCAGAAAAUUACAGAUACCGUCUGGUAAACUUUAGUCUUUUAUAUAUUAACCAACGUAGUUUCAUUAAAUUCUAUGAGUCAAUAAAUAAAUUCGUGGACCUGCAAAAUUUUUAUUUUAUAAUCAUAAAUUUUGUUGGCUACGAGACAUUUGUAUAAUUUGGAUUGAAUCCUUGAUGAUUACCUCUAUAUCACGAAAUAUUAUAAUGAUCUUGAAGCCAAUAUUGCCGAGACUGGAAUUAAAGGAAGCUUUCACAAAAUUGAUUUUACUGACUCCAUAGUUACUUUUUUGAACAAUUACAUUAAUAUUAAUAAUUAUUAGAAGACACAUUAUUUGGUCGUCGUUUUUAUAAUAUAUGUACAUAAUGAAUUUAAAAUCGUGUUUUAGAUCUUUUUUAUAAUGCCAGCCUGCUGUUGUCGCAGUGGAUAUAAAAAUGCCCCAAAGGACCCUAAUGUGUCACUACACUCGUUCCCUCAUGACGAAUGCUUAAAAAGUGCCUGGUUUAGAGCGAUUCCUAGGCGAGCUGGUGGAGUCUAGACACCUUUUAAGAAUUCCCGAGUUUGAUCUCUUCAUUUUCAAGACGAUGAUUUUAGGACAGAAAGUCGAGAUUAGCUCCCGAGGAGUAAAAAAAAAAUCAUCUUCUUUAAUGCUCUAUGCUCAAGAAUGUAUAGAUUCCUCCAGAUAUUCUACGAAAUCAUCGUAUACUUCUAUAUAUAUGAACUAUAAAGUUCCAUGCAAUGACAAAAUAAUAGACUGAAAUAUCCAGGGAGGAACAGAUGCACCAUCCACUGGAAUUUUAUUUAUGUUCUUGAGUCUUUUUUCUCCUUAAGUCAACUCUGCUUCGUCAUUUACUCUAAGAAAACUAUUUCAUUGAUAAUUGUCCUUGAUGCAUAUAAUGCAGAAAUGUAUGGUCUAUAUGGAUAAUUAUAUAACCUGGACACUUUAAGCCUGACCCCUAAUUAGUGAUUUCUUUAUUACUUGUGAGUCCCUUUUGUGAUUGGAAAAUAAGUGUAAGUUGAUUCAUGAAUCUUAAAGAUAAUGCGCCUCUCUUUUUUCGAUAGUUUUGUAUGCAAAUCAUAUUCUAUUCUGCUAUUGCGUAUAAGUUUGCUUUAAAAAAUGAAAGUGACAUCCUAACUCUAAUAGAUUUAUAUGGAAUAUUUAAUGUUGUUGCCUAACUUAUUGUCUUAGAAAUCUUCUUGUAAACAGGUAAUAGAAUAAAUAUCACUUAAACCAAUGUAUUGAAAUAUUAAAACAACUCUUAUUUAUUCUUAUAUAUGAACCAAAAAAAAUAAAAUAUUCUUUAAGUAAUAACUUUCCAAUGCUAAUUUUAAUCUUUGUCUCCUAUUCCCUACUUUACAAAAAUUAGAAAAAUAAUUUGCAAAGCGAGCAUUAAGAGAUUCUCCUGUUUGUUCUAUAGCAAAAAAACUCCAUAAAUUGGAAAUUUUUCUGGUAUUCUUGGAAUAUUAAAAUUAGUUCAUGCAUUUUGGGAGUUAUAGAUUUUUCAGUAAAACGUAUAUGAAAUAAUAACUCAAGAUCAUGACACUAAUUUGUUAUUCUUGAUAUUUCUUAAGUUGUAUACAUUCUCUUUUGUGUUUUGUGCUUGAAAAGAUUAGAAAGAUGUCCAAAUAUAAUUUUGACACCCACCUUGAUAUCUGGACUUACAGAUAAAAUACAAAAUAAUAAAAGCAAAAAGACCUAAUAUUGAUGAUAAAUUAUCUAAUAUUUUUUUUAUUUUAUAUCCUUCCCAUGAAAGGAACCCCCAUGAUACGACUGCAGUUCUACAUUGAUGGUUUUAAGAAAUUCAAAAAGUUUUAUUAUUUUCUGAGAGCUAUUUUCUUACUGUAAAAAAGAAUCUUGCUUUUGCUUAAGAUUUUUAUGGAAUUAAAAAGUCGUAAUUGCUCUUCUAUUAGAUUUUUAUAGUUAUUAAUAAAAAUUUCUUCACAUUCAUUCAAGGAAAUUUGAGAAUAUUGUGAACAAAUAAAGUUUUUUUCGGAAGACGAUUAAAUUAAUGUUAAAUCUAACCAUAAUGAUAUGUCGCAUACAUUUACUACAAUAUUUUUUUAAAAUAUAAAUGGGAACAUUUAAAUAUCUUAUACAUCCAACUUCUAAAUUACACAUGUACAUAAGUUGAAUUUUAGUUUGCACGAAUUACAUGUAGUAUCACUAUUGUUGGAAUUACUCUCAUUAAAUGUCAUAUUCAUAUAUUUUACACUUUGCUUUAUGAUGGGCAUAACAUUUUUUUUAAUAUGUAAUCUUUUUUUUUGUUAUUAAAUUUAGUAAAAUCUAAGAUUGAGCAAUUUCCUCAUCAAAAUCGAUAAACUUUUUAUUAAUAAUUGAAAUUAAUUUUUACUGUUGGUUUAAAUCUUCUCACACAAUAAUGAAAAUAAUUUUUGAACAAUACCCAUUUGAAUAUGUAAAAGAGGUAAUAUUAUUUGGUCUAUGGAUUCAGUUUGAGAUAAGGGUGGCUUGGCGAUUGAAUAAAAAAAAACUCCCGUUAUAUUUAAGUUAUUUAACCCAUCUUUGUCUAAAUUGUGAGGGAAAAUAGAUAAAUUAUUUGAGCUUCGUAGAGCUAAAUAACAAUUAUUUGGACAAUAAGAGCCAUUUGAAUGAUUAUUGAUUUUAGCUUUGAUUGUGUGAAAAUUAAGAAUGGAAUCUCCGGGGUUUUUCGAACGAAAAUUCUUCUUAUACACCUUCAGUUUUCUCUUCAUUUCACGAAUUAAAUUAACUUGGGUCCGGAUUUUUUUCUUAAGAAAUAGUAUUUCUAUGUUUUGGAGCACAAUAUGUUUAUGGUACGUGUGCACACUCAUAAUGAUAAUGCCUGAAAUCAGAAAUGACAAUUGCCAAUGCAAAGAAAAAUAUAAAAAUGUGGAAUAAUAAAAUAAUGAAUGAUAAACUUGAGGUAUUAUUCAAUGAAAAACACAAUAUUGAUGGCUAGUCUAUGUAUUCCAAAAACCAAAAGGAUAUUCGAAACUGUAGAACGAGUUGUGAGAGGGCGUAAUUCAAAAUUAAAAUUGAUAGCCAAAAUGGUUUCAUAGAAAUAAUAAGAUUGCCAAUGUAUAUAUAUAUAAGACCGUGGUCACUCAUUUGGGCGUGCUUUUUUUGGUGUACAUCUUUUCAGCACGAUCCAUUUCAGCUUACCUAUUUUGCACGGUAAUAAUUUGGCGUAUCAUUAAGGUUGAUAAUUUUGCUAAGGAUACAAAAGCGUGUAAUGGGAAGAGAAGAAAUACUUAUGAUACUGAUAGUCGAUAGAGAACUGAAUAAAGUGCCUAAAAUAACUUCUCCUUCUGUCUGAAUUUGAAGAAAUGGAGGCCCAGGAAUUUGGAAAUACUUACUGGACCAGAAACAAAUGAACAUGGAUAUUCAUCUAAAAAAUCAAGUUAAUGAUGAAUACAUCAAGUCAGACUUU